UGAGCUACUGCAAGUGUCUGCUGCAAGCUUUUCUCCACCUUUGGAAGGCUCAAGCCAGCUUAAAACUGCAAGGAGCCAGCAUGUGCAGUCAUUUACAGAAAGCCAUGCUUCUCUGUUUGCUGCUGCCUGUCAAAGGGCUGAGACAGAGCAUCCAAAUGAAGGGGAAAGGCACUCUGAGCAGCCUCCCUCCAUAUUCCACCUGGCCUGAGUACUGCUUGUGCUGCUGCUGCCACAGAUGUGUAUUGUUUUCAGCACGUUCUGAUCCCAAGUGUCUUGGUGAUGCACAUGAAUGUAGCACCUGGGUCACGUCUAAAGUCACAAGAAUCAAUUCUCCCCCUCAGUUGUUAAACUGAGUGCACUUCAGGGAAGGAGGAGAUCUUUGCCUAUAGCAUUGUAGCUUUCCACAAGCUAGAAGCAGAGAUGCCCUUUGCAAAGAUGUCUGCAGUUUGUGAUGGCUGCAGCCUGUGAGAAAUUGUUCCAGAUGGGCAAAAAGGAGAGUGAGUGUUACAUGGGCAAGUUGUUUUGACAUCUCUUGUUUAUACUAAUUUGGAUAGGCACAGAUGGAAAAGGCUUUGUCUGGGCCUGUUGAGUUUAUUCCAGUACAAAGGAGGAGGAGGAAGAAAGUAGGUAACUCACUUCUGCUGUGGGGUACCACAGGGGAAGCUCUUGGGGCCAGUGCUAGCACAGUUUCUGUUUGAGCAGGCAGGGCAUUUAAAGAAGGGAAGGAAUCAAAGCAUGCUAAGUGAAAUAGGAACAAUUUGACCAUCCCUCCUCAUGUGAGUGCAGGACAUCAGAACAGAAACUGCUUUCCCCCAUGCAUGCUGCUGAGCAAGCUGCUCCAGAAAAAUGGGGCUAUUUAGAUAUCCCCAUGGCAAGGGAGAAA